AAGGUUUGUGUUUCUUUGGGCAGGAGCCUACCGUGAUCAGAGCUGGGGGAGCCAGUGUGAGCAGCAGGUGCAAUGAAAGGAUGUGGGAGUUUGAGACCCAUCUCUGCUGUGUGGCCCUGGCCAUGUGCAGUGGGUAAGUACAUCAGCAAGCAAACUGGCCUCAAGAAUCCCGCCCUAUCCUGGGCAUCUGGGGUUGAGGCUGGCUGUGCCAACCUUUGCACAGGAUUUCAAUCUGACCUCACUCAGAAAACGGAGCCACUUGCUUAGAGUCCCUCUCUCUGAACACGCUCUCCCCUCUGGAGGAAAAGCAUUGCAAUCCCAAGCUCCUGCUGCUGCCGUACAUCUGCAUCUUAUUCAUCUUUGAAGCUCCUGCAAUGCCUCCAACGGGGACACAACUAAAGGAAGCUCUCAGAACGCCCAGCUAUCCCCACUGCAGAAGGCUCUCCCUGAAAGGGCACAGGUGGAGGACGUUUGCAUUUAUCUGGAGACAGUUCAUGGAGAAACACAAAGAGGUGUCCUGACAAGACAACAGGUCCACAGCAGUCGUCAUCAUGAGUGCUCACCAUAUGCCAGGGGUCAUCUUUUAAAAUCCUUAACCAAACAACCAAACUGUGGUUGGGAUUAUUCUCUUUUUAUAGGUGAGAAAACUGAGGCUGAAAGCCAUUGGGUGGUUUGCCAAAGCUGAGAAGUAGCUGAGCUGGGGUUUGUACUCACACCACGGUGACUCGGAGGCCCAAGCCGGUUCUGACACACUGCCUUCCCAUGACAUUCCCACGACAGGUUCCCGAGGUCGUUGGAAUGCUUACACAUUUCAGCAACUUCAUGGCAACUGCCCAGCUCGACCCAGAAGAUAAUACUACCUCGUACUCCCCCUGCCGCUUCCUUCCGCCAGGCAGCUCACAGACAUGACCUCAUUCCCUCUCCCAGAGUCCCAUAGGGGUGAAGGACGGGGUGGGGAUCGUUAACUCUGCUUCCUAGGGAGGAAAGGGAGGCCCAGAGAGGGAUGCUGGCCCACCCUGGGUCAUCCAGCCAGCUAGCGGGAGAGCUGCAACUGGAAAUCAGGCUUCCCUGCCCUCGGGGACAGUUAUUUAGCCUCCUGGAUGUGAGCUAGAAUCACCCCUAAGAUGCAGCAAUUGGGGUACUCCUCUUGGGGUACUGGGACUCAGUGGCUGAAACAGCUCCAAGAGAGUUGGGCCUGUGCUGAAAACAGAAAUCCGAGAUGCAUAUAAAUUCAAUCCGUAUGAGAAGAGCAGGGUGGCCUGGGAGGAGUGGUCACCGCAGUGGCUCCACCUCCUACCCGGCCGCCUGCAGCCCUGCCUGGGCUGCUCUUGGUCUCUCUGUGCCCAGCUUCCCUGGCUGGAUGCCCUGGGGGCCAGAGCAGCCGCGGGUGCGAUGGAAAGAACACUGGCCUUGAGGUCAUGGGACCUGGGGAGGAUAUUCACCAGGGGCCCCUAAGUUAGUCAUUUUAGCUCUCAGCUUUUCCAUUUUUCAUUCAAAAAAUGGGGACUCUAACUCCGUGAAAGAGACAUUGUGUGUGAAAUAUUUCAUCAUAAGCUGUGAAGCCUGCAAAGAAACUCCUGGUGUUCUCUGUAGCCUGAUUUCAUCUCUACUAAACACUAUUUUGAAAAUG
rnacentral:antisense_RNA from 1 species